rnacentral:rRNA from 1 species
GACGAACGCUGGCGGCGUGCUUAACACAUGCAAGUCGAACGGAAAGGCCUCUUUCGUGGGGUACUCGAGUGGCGAACGGGUAAGUAACACGUGAGUAACCUGCCCUUGACUUUGGGAUAACUUCAGGAAACUGGGGCUAAUACCGGAUAGGAGCUCCUGCUGCAUGGUGGGGGUUGGAAAGUUUCGGCGGUUGGGGAUGGACUCGCGGCUUAUCAGCUUGUUGGUGGGGUAGUGGCUUACUAAGGCUUUGACGGGUAGCCGGCCUGAGGGGGUGAACGGCCACAUUGGGACUGAGAUACGGCCCAGACUCCUACGGGAGGCAGCAGUGGGGAAUAUUGCACAAUGGGUGGGAGCCUGAUGCAGCAACGCCGUGUGCGGGAUGACGGCCUUCGGGUUGUAAACCGCGUUCGCUCAUGACGAAGCUUUGUGUGACGGUAGUGGGUAAAGAAGCACCGGCUAACUACGUG